GGAAUUGUUCCUUAUGAGUGCAUGCAUGUGUCGGGAGUCAGGAGCAGCCCUGCGCUGCCUCCCGCCACCUAACAAUAUUUUAUUUUUUUUCCAGGAACCCACCCACCACCAGGAGAUCAGGACAAGGCAGCACUCUCCCACUCUGGCCCUCCCCUUCCCUUCCACGGAGCCCCGACGCAGGUAGGAGCGACACCCCUUACACGCCACACACUUUUAAGCCGCUGGGGUUCCCCUCACACGUGCCCACACUCAGCCGAAAAA